GGCGACCGGCGCACGGGUGAGUAACGCGUAUGCAACUUGCCUAUCAGAGGGGGAUAACCCGGCGAAAGUCGGACUAAUACCGCAUGAAGCAGGGGCCCCGCAUGGGGAUAUUUGCUAAAGAUUCAUCGCUGAUAGAUAGGCAUGCGUUCCAUUAGGCAGUUGGCGGGGUAACGGCCCACCAAACCGACGAUGGAUAGGGGUUCUGAGAGGAAGGUCCCCCACAUUGGUACUGAGACACGGACCAAACUCCUACGGGAGGCAGCAGUGAGGAAUAUUGGUCAAUGGCCGAGAGGCUGAACCAGCCAAGUCGCGUGAGGGAUGAAGGUUCUAUGGAUCGUAAACCUCUUUUAUAAGGGAAUAAAGUGCGGGACGUGUCCCGUUUUGUAUGUACCUUAUGAAUAAGGAUCGGCUAACUCCGUGCCAGCAGCCGCGGUAAUACGGAGGAUCCGAGCGUUAUCCGGAUUUAUUGGGUUUAAAGGGUGCGUAGGCGGCCUUUUAAGUCAGCGGUGAAAGUCUGUGGCUCAACCAUAGAAUUGCCGUUGAAACUGGGGGGCUUGAGUAUGUUUGAGGCAGGCGGAAUGCGUGGUGUAGCGGUGAAAUGCAUAGAUAUCACGCAGAACCCCGAUUGCGAAGGCAGCCUGCCAAGCCAUGACUGACGCUGAUGCACGAAAGCGUGGGGAUCAAACAGGAUUAGAUACCCUGGUAGUCCACGCAGUAAACGAUGAUCACUAGCUGUUUGCGAUACACUGUAAGCGGCACAGCGAAAGCGUUAAGUGAUCCACCUGGGGAGUACGCCGGCAACGGUGAAACUCAAAGGAAUUGACGGGGGCCCGCACAAGCGGAGGAACAUGUGGUUUAAUUCGAUGAUACGCGAGGAACCUUACCCGGGUUUGAACGCAUUCGGACCGAGGUGGAAACACCUUUUCUAGCAAUAGCCGUUUGCGAGGUGCUGCAUGGUUGUCGUCAGCUCGUGCCGUGAGGUGUCGGCUUAAGUGCCAUAACGAGCGCAACCCUUGCCACUAGUUACUAACAGGUGAUGCUGAGGACUCUGGUGGGACUGCCAGCGUAAGCUGCGAGGAAGGCGGGGAUGACGUCAAAUCAGCACGGCCCUUACAUCCGGGGCGACACACGUGUUACAAUGGCGUGGACAAAGGGAGGCCACCUGGCGACAGGGAGCGAAUCCCCAAACCACGUCUCAGUUCGGAUCGGAGUCUGCAACCCGACUCCGUGAAGCUGGAUUCGCUAGUAAUCGCGCAUCAGCCAUGGCGCGGUGAAUACGUUCCCGGGCCUUGUACACACCGCCCGUCAAGCCAUGGGAGCCGGGGGUACCUGAAGUCCGUAACCGCGAGGAUCGGCCUAGGGUAAAACUGGUGACUGGGGCUAAGUCGUAACAAGGUAGCCGUACCGGAAGGUGCGGCUG
rnacentral:rRNA from 1 species